AUGAAGUCCUUGUAGAUGUAAACCAAUGCAAUUUAAGAUGUUCCCCUUGGUUGUCAUUCAUCAAACCAAGAAUUCUACCAGCUAGGAUGACAGGAAGUGUAGCUCAUCAUGUGAUGAAAUAUGUUGAUUGGGACCUCCUUCUGGCUCCAACUUCUCAAACAAUGGAGCAAAUUCUUGUAAAGGACUUGAGUAAAUCUAGAACAUGGAUGGAUAUCCGAACUGAUGUUGAAGAUGCUGUUAGUGAGAUGGUAGAAAGUCUUUGGGAAGAAUUGGUGAUGGAAUUCACUCUUGAGUAGCUAAUUGCUUAAAUAUAUUUCCUGGUACUCAUAUUUCUUGACAAGAAUUUUCACCAGUGAGAUCCAAACCCUGGCUUCAUUUGCUCUGGUCCAAGUUAGACCUAAAAGAAUUUUGGACAGGAAGCUCCAGCAUGGUAAAUAUGAUAAUUGUAAGCAUAUGUUUGCUAACUGUAUCGAGUAUUUAAAGAUUGGGGAUCAAGAUUGUGUCGUUAUAGGCAAGUUUUGUGUACUGUUAAAAAGGAUUGUUGGUUGCUUUGUUGAGCUAAUAAUAGUGUACACAUCUAAAAUUUUACGAGUAUAUUUUAUAGUCUUAAACUUUAU
rnacentral:misc_RNA from 1 species